rnacentral:rRNA from 1 species
UACGUAGGGUGCGAGCGUUAAUCGGAAUUACUGGGCGUAAAGCGUGCGCAGGCGGUUCGUUGUGUCGGCGGUGAAAGCCCCGGGCUCAACCUGGGAACUGCAUUGGAAACUGGCGAGCUUGAAUGCGGCAGAGGGGGGUGGAAUUCCGCGUGUAGCAGUGAAAUGCGUAGAGAUGCGGAGGAACACCAGUGGCGAAAGCGACUUUCUGGUCCUUAACUGACGCUGAGGCGCGAAAGCAUGGGGAGCGAACGGG